GUCCAGACUCCUACGGGAGGCAGCAGUGGGGAAUAUUGCACAAUGGGGGAAACCCUGAUGCAGCGACGCCGCGUGAGCGAUGAAGUAUUUCGGUAUGUAAAGCUCUAUCAGCAGGGAAGAAGAUGACGGUACCUGACUAAGAAGCCCCGGCUAACUACGUGCCAGCAGCCGCGGUAAUACGUAGGGGGCAAGCGUUAUCCGGAUUUACUGGGUGUAAAGGGAGCGUAGACGGCGAUGCAAGCCAGAUGUGAAAGCCCGGGGCUCAACCGCGGAACCGCUUUGGAAACUGCGAGGCUGGAGUGCUGGAGAGGUAAGCGGAAUUCCUGGUGUAGCGGUGAAAUGCGUAGAUAUCAGGAGGAACACCGGUGGCGAAGGCGGCUUACUGGACAGUGACUGACGUUGAGGCUCGAAAGCGUGGGGAGCGAACAGGAUUAGAUACCCGCGUAA
rnacentral:rRNA from 1 species